rnacentral:rRNA from 1 species
UACGGAGGGAGCUAGCGUUGUUCGGAAUUACUGGGCGUAAAGGGCGCGUAGGCGGCGACCCAAGUCAGAUGUGAAAGUCCUGGGCUUAACCUGGGGACUGCAUUUGAUACUGGGUUGCUUGAAUUCGGGAGAGGAUAGCGGAAUUCCCAGUGUAGAGGUGAAAUUCGUAGAUAUUGGGAGGAACACCAGUGGCGAAAGCGACCUUCUGGGACGUUACUGACGCUGAGGUUCGAAAGCUCGGGGAGCAAACAGG